ensembl:snRNA U6 U6 spliceosomal RNA
GUGCUUAUUUUGGCAGCACAUAUACUAAAAUGGGAAUUAUGUAGAGAUGAUUAGCAUGCACCUGAACAACUACGACAUGCAAAUUUGUAAAGUGUUCCAUGUUUCA